rnacentral:pre_miRNA from 1 species
NNNNNNNNAAACUCUGGGUUUCCGUGUCCAACUUUGACUGUCCGUCUUAUAUGAAAUUUUUUUAUAAUUCGUAUUUUCAUUGUUGUUAGAUGAUAAAACAUAAUUAAUAUUUUAUGCGUGACUUGUCUUUUUAAUUAUUUUUAUAAUUUUUUUAAAUAAGACGGACUGUCAAACGUUGGGUAUUUUAUGCGUGACUUGUC